rnacentral:rRNA from 1 species
UACGAAGGGGGCUAGCGUUGCUCGGAAUCACUGGGCGUAAAGGGCGUGUAGGCGGGAAUGUAAGUCGGGCGUGAAAUCCCUAGGCUCAACCUAGGAACUGCACUCGAAACUGCGUUUCUUGAGUAUCGGAGAGGAAAGCGGAAUACCUGGUGUAGAGGUGAAAUUCGUAGAUAUCAGGUGGAACACCAGUGGCGAAGGCGGCUUUCUGGACGAUAACUGACGCUGAGACGCGAAAGCGUGGGGAGCAAACAGG